rnacentral:rRNA from 1 species
UUAAGUGACGAUAGCCUAGGAGAUACACCUGUUCCCAUGCCGAACACAGAAGUUAAGCCCUAGUACGCCUGAUGUAGUUGGGGGUUGCCCCUGUUAGAUACGGUAGUCGCUUAGC